GUAGGUGGCAAGCGUUGUCCGGAAUUAUUGGGCGUAAAGCGCGCGCAGGCGGUUCUUUAAGUCUGAUGUGAAAGCCCACGGGCUCAACCGUGGAGGGUCAUUGGAAACUGGAGAACUUGAGUACAGAAGAGGAAAGCGGAAUUCCACGUGUAGCGGUGAAAUGCGUAGAGAUGUGGAGGAACACCAGUGGCGAAGGCGGCUUUCUGGUCUGUAACUGACGCUGAGGCGCGAAAGGGUGGGGAGCAAACAGGAUUAGAUACCCUGGUAGUCCACGCCGUAAACGAUGAGUGCUAAGUGUUAGGGGGUUUCCGCCCCUUAGUGCUGCAGCUAACGCAUUAAGCACUCCGCCUGGGGAGUACGGCCGCAAAGGCUG
rnacentral:rRNA from 1 species